GUUUGAUUUAAGAGACUUCCAAAAUCUAGACCCAGGCACAACGUUUACCUCAUUUCCUAGGCAGGUUUCAAGUUUGCAGGUCUUGGUGUGGACAGAAAAAUCCAUCGCAUGUAGCUGCAAUUACACUGGGACUCAGAAGAUUAGAAGAUGCUUUGCUCUCCUGCUCCUGCUUGCUAGAAUGGAAGAGGUCAUCUAUUUUUAAAGUACUUGGCAGAGGCCAUACCAUCUCUAUUUGUGUCAAUUCCCAGCAGACCAGCACAGGCACUGCAGAUGCGAUACAUCGAGUUCAUCACUGUCUGCUCCUCAUGGCAUGGCCAGAUCAUCAGGUUAUCUUCUACUUGCCUGUUUCCAUGGAAGUCAGCUCUCUUUGGGAUGGCUUACUUCAGCUUCAGCAGCUUUCCAGACCGCAUCUGGGGGUUAACACACCACUUCCACUGAGUGUCACCUUCUUGGAGCAGGAAUAUGAUUUGUAAUGGGACAUCUGAAGGAAGUGAAGGCUCCUGUCUAAGCUCAGGAAAGCAGUUGUGUAUAUAAUUCAGGAGAUCUGUAUGAAGCAGACCAGCAGAGUUUAGGCUGGCAUCAAGAGCAAGAAGGACAGACAGCCCAAUACAUUAUGGCUGCUGAUGAGCGGGACAGACAGGCAUCCUGGAGGUAAGGACGGAGUUGGGAACUUUAAAUGACACAAAAGGGGUCCACAGCAGCGAUUGUGCAGCACAGUCAGGGCAGGAGGGGUGACUGAGCAUGGCUGGAGAGCUUGUGGAGAAACACUGUGUAGGUGCUAGGAAAGCUGGGAAAAGGAAAGCCAGGCAAAAGAACAGAUUUCUUGGAUGACAAUUUAGCUGGGAAACAGAGGAAUAUCCAGAACUAGAGAAUUUAACAAGGAAAUAACAAAAAUAAACCAAAAUUGUGACUGACUCAGUUUCAUCUGAUUUUUUCCACCUAAGAUUGUAAUGUCACCUCUCCAAAGUAAAAAUGGAAGAAGAAAUGCACAUAAAAAGAGUAAGAAGAGGUAGCAGUGAGCAGGUGUAAUGGAAAUGCUAAGUCUGGGCCUGAUUGAGCACCUGGUGGAAGGCAGGGCCAACCCAGGGGAGCUCAGCUGCAUGCAAUGAACCUGAGUGACUGGAAGGGGUAGAGACAGGAUCCACCCCUUCCCAUACCUCAUUUAAGAAGGUGAGGGUACCUUGCUCAAGGUCCCUGCGUACCUGAG
rnacentral:lncRNA from 1 species